rnacentral:lncRNA from 1 species
AAAAAAAAAAAAAAGAUGACCGAUAAAAGACUGAAGAUAUUUUCUAUGGGGUCAAUGUGUGUAUAGAUUAUAGCAGGAUGACCUAAUAUUUAAUAUAUCGUUUUAUAAAUUUCAUCGUUAUCAAUGAACUUAUUGCGAGAUUAUUCAAGUAUAUUCCUUUUAAUAUUUAAGGCUGUUUUUUCUAUUUUAUUUCUAGAAUAGGAAUUAGGACCAUGGCUUGUAGUAUAUUUUUUCUGGUUAAAAUAGACAUAUUAGUUUGAAACUUCAACUACUCUCUAGACUUUUGGAACAGACUUAUGACUAGAUUUUCUUAUCCAAUCCACAAAAUCUCAUAAUACUUUGACUUAUCAAGUUGUAUAUCUUUUCGAAUAUGAUCUCGAAAUAUUUUGUAAACGAGAAAGUCAAUAUUCUGUAUAUAUUAUUACUUCAAAACACAUAAAUUUUGAAUUUAGAAGCAUUAGAUAUGCUAUUCAGUUUGUUUUAGAAACAGCACUUAAUAUUUUUUUUUCUUUUCUGUCUAUUUGCUAGAACUAAACGGCAGCCCAUUAAACAAAUAUGAGUGUCACUAUAUACAGAAAGACAUACAAAGAAUUAACAAAAGAUGUCAAACGAGUACCAAAAACAAUGAGGUAGAUUAGAUACAUCUUCAUAACUAACUAAAAUUUUAAAACAACCUCCUGCAUUUUUUUUAAGAAGUGUAACUUGAUACAAGUGAAUAACAAAGCUACUGGAAGAUGCUAUAAAAAGCCGAUCUUGAUUUAGCAUUUUAGCUAUAUUCUGCUUCGAUAUCUUCUCUUUUGAGCUGAGGGUCUAUUGGAAACAGGCUUCCUAAAUCCUAACCAAUAAAGGCAGGGGUAAGGUUUGUCGUACAUCAUAUGGGUACGUUGUUGUUGUAGCUACGUGUAUCGAAUUCUAUCUUAUGUAUAAGCAGCAGCUGGUAGUAUUUGAAAGCUACCUGUGUUAAUGUAACUUGAUAAUCUGCCUCAGUUGCCAGAUCCAAGAGUACAUCAUUCCGAAUGCACAGCAUAUGCUGAUCAUCAUAAGAGGCAAGAAAGGAAGCCUCUCAGCAAAGAGGAUAGGAUGAACAAAUUGUCCAUAUAUCUCAACGGCCAGGAGACCUAGCAAGUAUAAUUUGCCAAAAGAUCCAACGAUAAACCUUGUUUUGUCAUAUCUUGUCUGUUCCGUUUCAGCUGUUUUUCUAUUAGUUGUUGUAAAAUAAGAGGAGAAUCCAAUCCACGUCAGCGUAGCAUGUAAAAGCAGUAAGAGAAAUUUGAUUGGAUAUUCUUGGACUUCAAAUAAUAGCGGGAAAAGAGAAUAGCAGGACACUGCAUGCACAGCAGGGUUAUGUAUUAGUUUCUGGAAAUAAAUGUUACAGAACGAUACAAGACCCAAACACAAAAAAGGAGAAGCAGCAGCAACACAACAACAAUAGUAAUCGAAAAAACAGGCAAAGGAAGAAAGACAGGAAGGUAUGUUGAUGGAUGUCCUAUUCCAUCUGCAAAGAUAUCAAGAAGCCAGCUUAAUGCAAAGGGAUAAUUUUGAGGUCGGCCAUGAAAAAACUGAGUCACUGGGCAAAGUUGGAUAGCUCAAGAAUACACUAUAACAAAAUGGCUGACAUACAGCUAAGUAUAGAACAUAUCAGUUCUUACUUGCGGAGCAUUUCUAGUAAUUCAUUCUUUCUAACUGAUGGAGUAAUACUAAAACUAAUAAGAUGGUGGUUGCAGUUUUGAUUUUCUGGGACACAAAAGAUCCAGAGCAAAUUCCCUAAAUCUUCAAUAGUGCCUAACCCACCUACCCAAAACCCCCGAAUAAAAGAAAAGGCUAAAACUUAAAGCUGUUUAUUGAUUAAUCCACAUUUCAUACAUGCUAAUUUGUUUGUUUAUUUCCCAGUGGAAUUUAAUUGUGCCUAGUAGUCAUUCAAGGUAAUACUGAUUCAUCAUGUUAAAGAUAAACUACAAUGACAUCAUUUUUGAAACAUAUGUUUUGACCUAUUGGAGUCUCAUUAUGUCUUAAUAUUGACACUAAUAAUAGAUGGUGUCUGAAAGUACCAACUUAUUUCCAACUGAAAGAGAUCUGAUUGCUGUAGAGUCAGAUACAAUGAGCUAAUAACGGUAAAAGUAAAUAGACCAAAAUAAGAUAUAAGAAUAAAAGAACACCAAUGUAGGAACAACUUCUAGAAGAAGGUAGCAAACAGAAGCAUGACUGAACUAUGCAGAAAGAUACAAAUAUGAAUUUAUCUGUAAAUUGAGAUGGCUAGAGACUAUCACAUAAAUCACAUUGUAAUACAAAUUCAGGUCUACCAGAUGACUUUGAGAGUUCAACCAUUGCAAACAAGUAACUAAGACAGGGAAUUACCUAUGGACAAAUAGAAAUAGUGGUUUGCAUCUUCCACACUUUUCAAGGCAAUGAUGGCAAGGGGAAUCACAAAGUGAAGUGAGGCUUUCUCAUGGACAUGCCAGCCAAACAUAAAGCCACAUGUGUAAGCAUAGGCUAUCCAUCUUGUAAUCAUCCUUGGUUGGGGAUUUCUCCAAGCCUUUACAAGACAUGGAGCUAUUGCAAGCAAGACGAUACUGAAGGUAAUAAAGGGGGUGACCUGCAAUAUUCAAGUCUCUGUAAGCAUGGGCUGUUCACAAGUCCUCUUAACUAAUAUUGUUUGGUGAAAGUUAACUCUUUUACCAUGUUUUUCAAUUUUUAAAUUCCUAAUUAGGAGUUGGCAAACAAAGUUAUUGUCAACAAACAAAACACAGACACACACACAACAUAUCUAGAAUGAUGAGAUGAAUGGGUAUGCUUACUCUAGGUAACACAGCAAAAGGGGAGGAGUCCCCAACUAGUCCACCAGUGAAUGAAGCUGUUGGUGCUUGAACAUUGAAGCCCAUUCUUACAAGCAAAAAUGCUAACACUUUAUCAAGAAUUAUAUAGAAUACCCAGAAGUUCGGAGCCCAGUAAGCAUGACAGAGUCCCCUACCAAAUGGAAACAUCCGAUGGAACACUUGCUGAAUCUGCAACAAGGUUCAAAGCAGUUGGAAAUUUGUCAGGAGAUGAUGAUAUAACACACAGGCAACGAAAGUCCUACUUUAUCAUACUAUUCAAUAAACAGAAACAACCAUUUUGAUCAGCCAAGGUUAAAUUUGAAACAAAGUUAUCCAACUGCAGUACAUUUCAACCAUCAUCAGAGACCAGGCAAAGCUGCUAAAGAAUAAAACUAACAAGACAAUAAGACUUACGGAAGUACAUUUCAGCAAUCAAUGUCACGUUUCUACAAUCUUUUAACUAGCUAGAUGCAAGCCAUAACGUUGGAGCAAUUACUAAUUUUUAUUAGUAAUAUUUAGGAGCCUAGAAGGGGAGCCUUGGAGUAACUGGUAAGGUUGUUGCCAUGAGACCUCCGGUCACGGGUUCAAGCCUUGGAAACAGCCCCUUGCAGAAAUGUAAGGUGAGGCUGCGUAUAAAAGAUCCUUGUAGUCGGGCCCUUCCUCGGACCUGCACAUUGCGGGAGCUUAGUGCACCGAGCUGCCCUUUAUAAUAUUUAUUUAUGAGUCCAACGUCUAAAUGCAGCGACAUGGUUUGUGAGGAUUCAUAUAGAUGAAUCCAGCUAGGAAGCUUUUUUUCUGAUAGGGUAAGAUAAAUUUCAUUAAUAGAGUACCAAGAAGGCUGCAAACAACAAAACAAUAGAUUGCAGCAUUACUAUUUUUACUAUACCCCCCAAGAAUCCAACAAACUUGAGAUUGAGGUGUUGGUGUGAUUCUAAGAACCUAAAUGUCAUCUUAUUACUAGACAUAAUUACAAAAUUAUCCAUGCAUUCUUGAUGAACUAAAUCUUCCUGACAAUGAAAAGAAGACAAUGGAAUACCAGUAAAUAACAUCAAAUUCUAGAUGUGAUCCAAAUAGGGAAUAACUAGAGAAUCAACUCACAUAGAGAACUAAAGAUCAGAACUUUACCUGUCCAUGAUACAGAAAAGGCCCAUAAGCAGCAGCAAAAACAGCUACAACGGCACUCCCCAUAAUAACCAAUCUCCCAAACCAACUAAUGAACCCACCGCUACAAUAAUGCCUCAACAGAUAAACAAAAUAAACAGGAGCAGCAACAGCAAACAAAUGCUUAAAACACAACAAAACUGCAAAAACAAAACCACCUAACAAAUCCUUCCCUUCCUCCAAAGCCGAAAGCGAGAUCAAAAGAAUCCCCAAUAGAAACCCAUUAUACUGAAAAUGCAAAUGGUCCACAAUCAUCAACCCUGGCGAAAAAAUAACCAAUACCCAGAUCAAAACUCUCUCUUUACACCCCAAAUUCCUUGUCAAUCUAUAAAUACCAAAAACCAACACAAAAUCAGUUAUAAUAACACUAAUUCUUUGAAAAAGGAUUGUGGGUUUUGACUUAUAAUCAAGACCAUGAUGGAUAUGGACCAUAAUGGGGUCCACAAAGGAAGCAAAGAAAGAUAGAAAAUGCUCAAACUGUGCAAAAAAUGGCGGGUAAUCGAGGGUCCAUGGACUUGUUUCGUCGGAGUACCAUUGAGAAAGUGGAAGGGAGUGAGUAAUAGCAAGCCAAUUACGGUGGACCUCGAAAUCUGUGCUGUGAUAAGCUGGGAUUAGGAGGAAUUUGAUGCAUGUAGAUACAAGAGAAACCCAUAUGAUCUCUGUGAUGGGUCUUUUGAAUUCGGGUUCGGGUUUGGGUUUGGGUUUUAGGAUCCGGGUUUGAUUGUGGUGGUUCUUUGCCGGUUUCAUGGCGAAGUGGUAGUGUUUGGGGGUCAAGAUUUGGGGGAGGUUGAAGAGGAAGAAGGUGACGUGUCAGCAGCGACACGUCAUGAUUGUCCAUGUCAGCAUCUAUCUGGCUUUGUUGGGUUGGGUUGGGUUGGGCUGGGUUUUAACUUGUUGGGUUAAUAUUUGUUUUGGCCCAUUCUGGCCCAGCUAUUCGAUGGAUGAUUUUGAGUCCAACCCAUUAACCCUCUAACUUGAAGUUUGGAAGAAUUGGCCGGAUUGAUUUUGCCACCUUUGAGAAAAGGGGAACAGUAUCUUAUUCUAUCCGAUCGUAGAAGCAUUCGGAAUGGGCUCCGCAGUUUGUUUUUAUAGUGAAGUGAUCUUUUAUUUUUGUUUCUACUAUUCAUUUAAUGAAAAUUUGUAGAUCAAGGUUUUAUAUAGACUUACGCCUCAUUUGUUUGCACUUAAUGGAGAUCUGAAUCUAAAUAGUUCAGAUUUCAGACCAUUAAAUGCAUAUAUUUUUUAUUAAAAUUUUAGCUCAUAAUAGGUUUGAAUAACUUUUAAUCAUUCAGAUCCGGUAUCGAGUCUUAGGCCUCAUUUGUUUGCACUUAAUGGAGGUCUGAAUCUGAAUGGUUUAGACUUCAGGCCAUUAAGUGCAUUUGUUUUUUAUUAAGGUUUUAACUCUUAGAGGUCGUUUGGUAUAGUGUGAUAAAAAAUUAAUGUUUGCAUUAGCUCUUAUGUAUUAUUAAUACCUUGUUUGGUAUUUUUUUUAACCUUUGUAUAACUAAUCUAACAAUUAGUUAUACACUCUAUUGUGUAUUAUGCUACGCACAACUAAUACCACCACUUUUCUAUGUAUUAGUAAUUCAUAGCUUUCAAUACAUGCAUUAUCUAAUUAAAACGAAUUUACCCUUCAACUUUUUCCCAAUUCCUUUUCCAUUCUUGUCCCAAAAGUAUCUCAUUUCACUGGAAAUUUGGUGCAGCUUCAAUGUUCAUUCUGGCAAACUUUUCCAUUCUUGUCCCAAAAGUAUCUCUUUUUUCCGACGAACUUUUCGUCGGUUUCGUAGUCAAAAUUUUUUAUUUAGAUAAAGUGAUAAUUAAGUUUCUUUCUACAAUAGCUACGGUUGCUCCCAAUUAGAGACUUUCAUUGUGGCCAUCUGCAGAAAUUGCUAGAGAAGAAAUCUUAGCAUAUGGGAUAUUGCUUACAGAUAAGUAAAGAAACGUUUUGGUCAUCUAUACAAAUUGCUAGAGAAGAAAUCUUAGCAUAUGAUUGAUGCUUGUAGAUAAGUGAAGAAAAGUUUUUGUUUCUGACAGAAGAUUGGAAAUAGAGUAUAAAAUGCUAAUUAAAAGGUAUUUUAGUAAAUAAGUAUUAUUUGAUAAAAAUUAUAUUUUAUAUAUUUUUUAAUACAUCAAACCAAACAGUGUGUAAGAAAUAUCGUAUGCAUAACUAAUACCAGCAUAACUAAUACAAACACUACUAAUGCAAACAUUAUUAACAUACACUAUUUUGUAUUAUUCUUAUACAUUCUACCAAACGACCUCUUAGUAGGUUUGAAUUGGUCUUAAUCAUUCAGAUCUAGAACCAAGUCUUAACAGGUCUGAAGGGAUAUUUUGGUGUUGGAUGAUAGUCACCACUCUAUUCAUAAUCAGCAGUCAUCACCACUAACCACCUCUGCCAGCUCACCAUUGUCAACCACCAACCACCUCCACCAUCAUAAUCUCCAUCGAUAAAAAAUACCUCUACAACCAUAAUUGUUAACCGCUACCACACCUACUACCUCUUUUAUUCUAAUUAUAUUCACCGUCACCACUGCCGCCAACAGCACCACAAUCAGCAACCGCUACCGGUCAAUCCCUACUACCAAUCAACUCAUCUAUCACAACUAGCAUCAUCACUAACUACCACUAAUAUAUCACAACCUCUACACAUUCUUUGGUCGCCACCACCAUUGUCACUAGUAACGUCACUUCUACCACCACUUCAACCAGUACUAUCGCUAUAAUCUAUUUCUACUAGCAACCAUCUCCACUAUCAUAAUAAAUAACAUCUCCAAUUAGCACAACACAUCGUCAAUCAUCAUGCAUUUAUUUUUCGGCCAACACAAUCAACACCUUUAACUACUAACAUCUAGCAACGUCACAUCACAACAACCACCACCACAAUCAAUCACCACCAUCAUAACAGUCACUAUAAUAUCAACCAUCACAAUUAUCACCACCAACAUUAUUAAUCACCAACAUCAAUCAUUGUCACCGCAACCACCAUUAUAAGCCAUAUCCACUAUCACUAACAAACAUAAAUAUUUUUUCUCAAUCAAAUACUAAUAAUUUUAUUGUAUUAAAUUAUACACGUCUUUAAUAUAUAAUUAAUUUUUUAUCUGAAUUUUAUUUUUUAUUUUAUUAUGUAUACAAAUAAUUUUUUUUACACAUUCAGAUGUUGGAUGUUGAAAACAAACAGUCUUAAUCAUUCAGUUUUCAGAUCUACAAACAACAUCUUAGUAAUUCAGAUGUGCAUUCAAAUUCAGACGUCUGAAUCUUAAAAAAAACAAAUGAAGCCUUAGUAUCAUUAAGGGGUAUUCUUAUAUUAAAUAAUAUUCACCACCACUCCAUCCAGAAUCAUCAAUCACCACCACUAUCACCUCUAUCAUCGCUACCACUAACUACUUUCACAAUUACAGCCACCAUUGACAAUCAAAAUCCCUACCAACCACUAUUGUCAGUUGCUACAAAACCUACCACCUCUAUUAUUCAAAUUAUAUCCACCACUAUCUCUACCGCUACCCCAAUGCUAACAUCAAUUCCAACGCCAGCACCAUUAUCAACCCUUACCGACCAAUUCCUACUACCGACCAACUCAUUUAUCAUAACUAGCACCACCGCUAACUACCAUUAAUACAUUAUUAAAACCUCCAUACAUUCUUCGGCCGCCACUGCCAGCAUUGUCACUGGUAUCGCCACCUCUACCACCAUUUCAACCAUUAUCAUGGCUAUAAUCUAUCUCUACUAACAACCAUCUACACUAUCACAGCUAAUAGUGUCUCCAACUACCACCAACACAUAGUCAAACAUCAUAUAUUUAUUUUUCAGCCAUCGCAAUCUAUACUGUAGACAGGUAAUUUUAUCCCUCCCCAAAAGUAUUUUUACCUUUUUACCCCUGUCUUACUGCGUGCCCUCACCCGCGUGAUUAUAUCCCACAAAAAUAUAAAAAUAACAACCCUUAACAUAAUCCCUAACAAAUGCUAUCUUGUUUUAUUCCUAUCCUAACCAACUUUACACCUCAUCCUAACAACCUACCCCACCCAAUACCCUCCUACCCCACCUUCCCACAUGACCCCUCCACAUUUCUUCUCCACAAAGAAAAAAGGGAAUAAUAUAUACAUACGGCAAAGGGGGGCCCACUGGAAUUUUCGGACCCCACUACACCUCACCAUUUUCUUUAUAUACAAUAUAUAUAUAUAGAUAUAACAGGGAGGUGAGUCCAGAGAGGCAACAUCAUCUUCUCCAUUCAUACACCUCACCAUCUUUUUUCAUGCCAUACACAGAAGAUAAUUAAUCAUACACUCAUACAACAUCCUCCAUCGAGAAUCCAUAAAAACGCACUCAAUACAUAUCCCAUAUGGACGAUUUCACAUAAGAGGGGAGGCCAUUGUUGAGGACUUCAUUUUUCUUCUUCUUUUUCUGCUGCUACACACACGCGAGAGAAAUGGAAACAGCGAGAGAGAAAAAAAACAGGGGAGAGAGAUCGAAAGAGGAAAAAUAGUUUUUUCGAUAACAAGGUCACUGGAAUAGUGGCUUAAUCAUAGAUUUCGGCCAUCCUUCCUUCGUUGGCGGAGCUCCGGCGAAACUAGUAGCUCCAUGUCAUCCCCUAAAAUGCUGAAAUAACAAUAAAAAAAUAACCAUUUAUUGAUCGAACUCAGUUCCCUUUCUUCCAUUUUCUUUGAGCCCAAAACCCCACCCCUUCGUUUUGGUCUUCGCCGAAACUGAACGGAGUAGUAACGGGGUGCACGAAUCAGUAGGGUCUCUCGUUAUUUCUAGAUUUUUAUUUUAGUUCGGCGAAAACAGAGUGCGGGAUGAGAUUUGGGAAUCUAAUUUUGAUAUUAGAGGUUUGAUUCGAGGUUGAAAUCUGAUUUGGAAUUUGUGUUGAGGUUCGAUUCGACGUUUCGGUGCGGAUUUCAUCUCGUUUAAUCAAAUAAUACUUGAAAUCAGCAUUGAGGUCCAAUUCUUUCUUCUCUUCUUUUUAAUUCUUAUGUGAUUGUGAACUUGAUUCGAUGACGUAAAUCGUAUGUGAUUGUGAACUUGAUUCGAUGACGUGAAUCGUAUGUGAUUGUGAACUUAAUUCGAUGACGUGAAUCGUUGGUGAUUAUGAUUGUUGGAUUUUUUUGAUGUUGUGAUCAUGUGCUUGACGAUAUGAUUUCGGCAAUAUGUGGUAUGAAUUUGAGUAAUGUUGAUGGUGUGAUUGAUAAAAAUGAAGCUAGAUGGGGUGGAAUUGAGAAAUUGAUAAAAAUGGGUGAAUAUAGAUCAAUUUUGGUUUAUUGUCGUUAUUUUAAUUCGGAAUAAGCAUGAAUAUUAUUGGAACGCGAUAGAAUUAUGAUAUGUUUAAACGGAUAGGCAAAUGUAGGUUCGGAUAGGCAAAAAAUUUUGGAAUAAGUGUUUUGUUGAAUGUUUGAAUGAGGAAUGUGUGUUGAAUAUUUUCUAGUUUAUCGUACUUGAUUCAAGUGUAUUCAUUUGGCCGGGAAUGCCCCGAGGUUUCAUGUAUUUACUCACCGGGUAAUGCCCCGACGUAUUAUGUCUUCGAAGGAGGAUCGUGAUCAAGGUCCGAGGCAUCGGGUAAAGCAUUAGAGCAUAGUUUAGGAAUAGUGUAAGUUAGAAUAGGAUUUAUAUUUUGGCAUUUUUCUAUUUUUGACUGUAUAAUUAGACUGGACGCUAUAUUUUGGAUUGGAUUGUUUUGUUUGUUUUAUUGAUUGUUUUGAUGUACUUUUUGUGUGGUUUAUACAUGCGUAGUAUCAAAUUAGUCGAUAAGCUCCACCAAGCGACCGUGGUCGAACCACGGGAUCGAGGGGUGCCUAACACCUUCCCCUCGAUCAACAGAAUUUCUUAGUCGGAAUCUCUGUUUGCGGAUUAGUUUUAGAGUCAAAUUGUUUUGAAAAGGAUCUUUCAAAGGUAACUUGGUACACCGGAUUAUGUCAAGUGGCGACUCUGAAUAAAAAUAUAAAUCUUUUUUCAAAACAAAUUUUCAAUCUUUUGUCACUUUAAUAAUAAAAACCCUUUCGAACCUAAAAAUUUAAUCUUUUCGGGUUGCAAAAGGGGUGUGAUAGCUCCGGCAACUCUAUUGGAGAUUUUUCAAAAUUCGAGCUUAUUUUGGAGUUGUAUCGGCUUAGUUUGACGUUAUGAGUGUAUAAAUAUUUUAUUUGUGUUAUUGUUUGUGCUAUUAUUAUCAUUGUUGAGUGCUUACGUGCUACGUGUUUACAGUUUUAUCUUAUGUGUUACCGCUUUAUACCUGGCAUCAUGUGCAUAACCCGAGUCAUUCUUUUUGCAACAAGUCCAUAGUACACGCUGUGUACACGUAGUUGAGUCACCCUUAUCUUAGGAGGGGGAGCCGACGGCUGGUAUGGAGUGGGUGGAAAGGUAAACCAACCACUAUCGACCAUAUGCUCCCCCGAACAGCCUUGUUAGUAAACCUCAGCGUUGGUCAGCCUUUAGAUCAUGCUUAUCUACAUCAUAUUGAGAUCUAGUGGGACUCACUUGGUCCUUUGUAGGAGACUCAUCUCUGAAGCAUCCCUACGUGCUAAAUAUUGCAUUUUUUUAGGGUAACGGGGUUAUUUGAUAGACUGAUUUUGGUAAAAACAAUUGUUAGAAGCAAAGUGUGUAGGUAAGAAAUUGUUGAAAAAAAGAUUGAAAAAAAAAAAGGAAAAAAGAGUUUCGUAAUUUUUUUAGAGUUCUUGAUGACUUUUAUUUUUCACAAUAAAAAAUUUAAAAAAAAAUUCUACCUUUUUCACGCAUUUUCUCAAAAAAACAAAACAAAAGAAAAACAUCAAAAAGAUUUUCUUUUGAUUUCUUUAGCAUGCAUUCAUAAUUCAAAACUUUCAAAAAAAAAAUAAAAAAUUAAUAGGAGUUUUUUAUAAAAGAAAAAUUAAGAAAAUAGUAGAAGUUCUGUACAUUUCAUUUAGCGAAAAUACUAAAAGGAUUUUUUCUUUCAUAGUUAUUGGUGUCAGUUUUAUGUGAAGUGUCAAAUGAGAAAAAGUCAAAAAAAAAAAAGAUUUUAUUAACGUUGUUCAUUGUUUGUCUUUGGUCGUAUCUCUCAAGUCAGGGUAUAGUUUGUUAUUCAAUUAUUGGUUGUCCAAUCUGGACGAACUACGCACCCCUGAUACUCCUCUCUCUGGAGUGAGAUACGUAGGCAGCCUAUUCUUGGUUCGGGGAUCUUAUUUCAAAAAAAUCCAAAAAGAUUUUCUUCACUCUUUAUUUAGAGUAAGUCUUUCAUAUACAUCUUUAAAAGAAAACUACAAAAUGAUUUUUCUUUAAUAGGUUCAAGUUUCAUUUUCAUAUGAAAUUCAAAAUUGAAAACCCAAAAAGAUUUUUCUUUGACAAUCAUAGGUUUCAUUUUGUAUAGGAAUUUUAAACGUGAAAAAUGCAAAAAGAUUUUCAUCAAUUCUUUUGACAAUUUGUUAUUUCCUUUUCUCUGUGAACUUUUAAGAAAAAGAAAAAAAGAAAGGAAAAAGAGUUUGGUUGGCCAUUUUGGCAAAACUUCACGAACUAUGCACCCCUGAUUCUCCUCUCUCGAAAGUGAGAUACGUAGGCAGCCUAUUGCUGGUUCGGGAAUGUUAUUUAAAAAAUCAAAAAAAAAGAUUUUCUUCUCCUCAUUUAGAGUAGGUGUUUCAUAUAUGCCUUCAAAAGAAAAAUACAAAAAGAUUUUCCUUAAUAAUCGUAGGUUUUAUUUUUGGUGGAUCUUACUUGAAAAAUCCAAAAACAUUUUCCUUUAAUAGGUUUAAAUUUCAUUUUGUAUGAAACUCAAAAUUGAAAGCCCAAAAAGAUUUUCUUUGGUAAUUAUAGAUUCAUUUUGUAUAAGGAUUUAAACUUGGAAAAUACAAAAAAAAAUUUGUCAAUUCUUUUGACAAUUUGUUAUUUUCUUUUCUCUGUGAAGUUUCAAGAAAAAGAAUGGAAAAAGAGUUUAAUUGGUCAUUUUUGUAAAACUUCACGAACUACGCACACCUGAUUCUCCUCUCUCAAGAGUGAGAUACGUAGGCGCCCUUCUUGGGUUCGGUGAUCUUUUCAACAGAAAAAAAAGAAGGAAAAAGAGGUUUUGAAAAAUAUGUUGAACUCUAACAGAUUUGCUGUUUUUUUUUUGUUGAGUCAGUUUAAGGUGGUUGGUUUGUGGCAUUCUGACUAGUCCUCCAUAUCACACUAAAUCCAAGGAAGGGUUAGUUGUGUCCAACAAGGAUAUAGAGAGUGACAUCAUGGAUUAAACAAAGAGUCAGGAAAUUUAGAGUUUAAAGGAAGAGAAUUUGAGACUGAGACAACAAAUAACAGAAAUGCACCGAGCUUGGGCAUGUGGGUUGCCUCUUCCUCGUCUAUUUUUCUCUAUUGAUCCUACAAAUACCUCGAGUUUUUCACUAAAAUUGUAAAGUCAGUGUCCUAUUGUUGUUGAUGCACCGCAACAUGACUCAAAAUUCAUUCCAACCCCAAAGCAUCUCAAUAUUUCCACCACUUUUUGUCUAGCUCCUCAGUAUAAGACUGCUACAUUCACAACACCACAUGUCGUUCGUGAUCUUGUUGCUCAAUCCUUUAUUGAGGCUUCUACAUUGGCUAGCCGACCAACGAUUGUGCUUCUCCAUGCUGCUAAUGGACCCUUAUUCAAUACUCUUGAUAAUCGUUGCUAUACUCUAGAUCCUACUUUUAAGCUAGCUGGACCACCAAAAUUUCUUAACAAGAAGCCUAGUGUGCCAGAAGAGCCAGAGAAAAUGGUUGGAAAAAUGAAGAAUGCAAGAAAUGCUGUGAAAAGUUCCCUAAGACCUGCGAGUGAAGAAUAUGUUUCAUACAAAAAUAGGGGCAUGUCUUCAAGUGUUAACCCUCCUCCAAGCCUUGAGAUAUCAAAAUUCGAGGAGCAAGAUGGACAGAAGGAAUUCAUGAAAUAUUUGGGAUAAUAUUGCAACCAAUUAAAGGAAACUGGAGGGGAGAAGAAUGGAAAAAAUACAACUGCUGUUAUAGUUGGAGAACGGGCACAUCCAAGUAGACGACAUCAUCGUUGCCGUCUGUCUCAAGCCCAAGUUCAUACCCAAACUCUCUAUAAUCCCUCUUAAAAUCCAUUAUACUCUAUUUUUCCACCUCUAUAUCUAGCAUAUUGCGCACAACCAUAUGUUUAACUCCUUUUUUACUCACAAUGGCGCGCACCAACUCCUCAGAGUCACCCUCCGACUCCAAAAACCUACCAAAUCCCUUCUAGGCCCGAUUUUGGAUUCAGGCCAAAUAAUGAGACGAGGAAAAAAUUGAGGGAUUGCUUCACACCAAAUUGAGAGUCGUAUGCUAGCUUAUUUCAAAGAUUGGUAUAAUGGCGCAUGAUCACACUUCUCCUUGGGCACACUCUUAAUCCCCGUUCAAGAAAUUUUAAUCCUAAUGCACGAUAUGCAUAUCAUUCUGAUGCUCGGGGUCAUAGUACUAAAGAUUGCCAAAAUUUGAAAAGAGAAAUUGAAAAGACGAUUCAAGAUGGAUCAAUUAUAGUACAGAACAUUGACAGUGAGAGAAGCUCUAGUCAUGCUGAUAUGCAAAUCAGUAGCUAAGUUGUCAGGAUUAGCAAUUGAAAAGUCACCCCUCUCCCUACGAGGAAGAGGUUUGUUUUGUUUUCUGUUUUCUGAAUUAUUUCAGGGUUGUAGUUCGGGAUCCAUCUUGUUUUGUCCCUUUAUCGUUUAUGUUCAAACCCCUUUCUCUUUUAUUUUAACUAACUGAAGUGUCCCUUUUUAUUUGUGUUUUAAAUAUGUGUUAUUUUUGUUUGUUUUUUUCACAUAGUACAUUUUAUGUUGAUUCUAGUGAUAUAACAUGCCAGCGGAAUUUUUAAUCAGAUCUUAAAAUCCAAUUUAACCAUGAAACAAUGAAUCAGAGGUUUAAGUUUGUAAAAAAGAAUAUUUAAGGAAAUAGGUAGAGUGCUGAGCUAUUUGGUGACAAGUUGAAGCCUUUCUUGAAAAUUAAGGCACUUAUUUUGAGAAUCACAAGAAUAACUUGGUCAUCAAUUGAAAGACAUGUCUCAAUUAGGUCAAAUAGUGACUGCAUAAACAGAACGAAAAUCAGCUUCACAAAAUCAUGAGUUAUUCAAUGUGAGGAAUAUGCAACAAAAGUGGAGUUGUACGCUAGAAAAGAGCAAAAGAAAUAGUGACGCACAGACUCAGUCAAAGUUAAUGCUGCAAAAGAUUUCUCAAAUGAUCUUCAUCUUUUACUUCCAUAUUGCAUGAUAUGUACUUGCAUUUUUAAGGAUUGAUAGGGCGAAGGCAUUUCAUUCUGCUAUCCAAAUAUUGUGUCAUCCUUUGUUUACCCCAUUUGAGCUUUAGUCCUAUUUUCUUUCAUACCCCUCUUUUGGAAUCAAGAUAGAGUCAGUAAAACUCAAAAGAAAAGUGUUGAGAAAAAAAAUAUGUCCAAAAGAAAAGAAAAGAGAAGAGUAUCAAAAAUAGGGUCAGACAAAAAAAUCCCAAACAGAAAAGAGAAAAAAAAAGAAGAAGAAACAAAAAUCAGAAUCAAGCAAAAGAACAAGCUGCCAGAACUACGCGUGACCUGAUUCUUCUCUCUCGGGGGUGAGAUACAUAGGCUGUCGUACUCUGGGCUCGGUCUAACUAAACAAAUAAUUUAGAAUUGUCCAGUCAAAAGAAACUGGGGCAUGAGUUAAUCCUUAUUGUUUUUGUCGAUUCCAAAAGUUGUUAGUCCUACCUACCCCACUUCAAGUGUCGUUUGAGCCUCAUGCCAUCCUUUAUUUCUUACCUUAUCUAAAAGUCGAGUUACAACCAAAGAAAGACCUUCAGAUCAAUCUUUGAAAAUGUUAAGGCUAAGUAUGCAAUGGAUAUGAUGACGCAUUUUGGAAACCACUUGUCUGCCUCAGCAUAAGGAAUCGGGAGAGAAGUAAAAAUGAGAGAGUCUUAUUGGUGAAAACCCUCACGGGCACUGUGAGAUGAAUGGUAAGUUGAGAUAAAUAAAAAUGAGAGAGUCUUAUUGGUGAAAACUCUCACGGGCACUGUAAUGCAACGGUGAGUUGAGACAAAUGAAAAUAAGAGAGUCUCAUUGUUGAAAACCCUCGCGGACAACAUAAGACAAUGGCGAGCUGAGAAAAGAAAAAUGAGAAAGGUUUUUUGGCAAAAACCAUUCAAGGGACCACUAGCCGAAUGAGGUCUUAAAUGUAAUUAACCUAAGGAAGAAGCUCAAUUUUGAGGUCAUUAACUCAACAAAAAUUGGUGGAAAGUUUUAGAUAGAAAGAUCAGGCAGUUUAAUUCGAUAUGCAUGUCAUAAUCAUUAGAGUUGACUGUCAUUUUCAGAUAAACUUUUCUUUCAUAUUUUUCAUUAGGGAUAUUCAUUGUCGUUUCUUUCUUCCCUUUAGUUAUAUUUUUAUUUUCUUGAGUAAGUUAUCCAAAUAAAACCAAAAUUAUUAUCAUUUUUCUCUUGUCUUUGAGUCAAGUCCAUGUCAAACCAAGUGAGAAAAGAUUUCAAAAAUAGCCACCAGCUUCUUCAAUUGCACAAAGCAAGACAAUGGGCCAGCACAUGAAAGAAACAAUAUUGUAAGUCAGAACAAAGCAUGCAGAAAGUUUUGUCAAUAGACGAGUCUAGGAACUCAUAAAAAUACCAAGGUUUAAAGGAUUUAUCUAAGGAGCAUGGCAAAGCAUAGAUACUGUGUUUGUUUCAGAGUCAUUUCCCUUAAUCUCUGUUUGGUUCAAUGACACGAUAAAGCAGGGGCAAGUGCCAGCAAUCUGAAACAAAAUGAAGGGAAUGAACACUGGAGCAGGGGUCGGGACAGCAAGAGCCGCAAGCCACCACUAAGUUUUUAACUGACAAAUUUUCUUUGUUGAAACAGGGGCAAACUCGCUUCACUUAAUUCAGCUACCAUUGGAAAUGCACAUCCGUGAGAUUUUACUUUAUGUUCAGGACCCUCCUGAAAAGUGGAAUUGUACUUUAUGUUCAAGACCCUCCUUAAAAAUGGGAAUUUACUUUCUGUUCAGGACCCUCCUGAAAAAUGGGACUUUACUUUCUGUUCAGGACCCUCCUGAAAAAUGGGACUUUACUUUCUGUUCAGGACCCACCUGAAAAAUGGGAACAUACUUUCAGUUCAGGACCCUCCUAAAAAAUGAGAAUUUACUUUAUGUUCAGGACCCACCUGAAAAAUGAGAACAUACUUUCAGUCCAGGUCCCUCCUGAAAAAUGAGAAUUAACUUUAUGUUCAGGACCCUCCUGUAAAAUGGGAACUUACUUUCUGCUCAGGACCCUCCUAAAAAAUGAAAAUUUUACUUUCUGUUCAGGACCCUCUUGAAAAAUGAGAUUUUGCUUUCUAUUUAGGACCCUCCUGAAAAUGUGAUUUUACUUUUUGUUCUGGACCCUCAUGAGAAAUGGGACUUUACUUUCUGUUCAAGACCCUCCUGAAAAAUGAGAUUUUACUUUCUGUUCAAGACCCUCCUGAAAAAAUGGGAUUUUACUUUCUGUUCAGGACCCUACUGAAAAUAGGACUUUACUUUCUAUUCUUGACCUUCCUAAAAAAAUGGGACUUUAUUUUAUGCUUAGGACCCUCCUGAAAAAUAGGAUUUUACUUUCUGUUCAGGACCCUCCUGAAAAAUGGGAUUUUACUUUCUGUUCAAGACCCUCCUGAAAAAUAGGAUUUUACUUUCUGUUGAGGACUCUCCUGAAAAAUGAGAUUUUACUUUAUGUUCAGGACCCUCCUAAAAAAUGGGACUUUACUUUCUGUUCAGGACCCUCCUGAAAAAUGAAAUUUUAAUUUCUGUUUAGGACCCUCCUGGAAAAUGGAGAUUUACUUUCUUUUCAGGACCCUCCUGGAAAAUGGGACCGUAAUUUCAAACAGUGAAAUCGUUCUUUAUUAUGAUCUUUGAUUAGGAUAAUUCUCCUUCUAGUUUUAUUAUGAUUUCAGGAGCCCGGCUGAAGAACAGGGUGAUAAAAUGGGAAAUUAAAGAAAUUGCAAGUCAGGAGCUCACCUGAAGAAUAGGGUGAUGAAACUGAAGGUCUAACAACAAGGUGAUUAAAUGAAAAACCAAGCAACAAGGUGAAAAAUUACAAAUGAGGAGCCCACCUGAAUAAUAGGGUGAAGAAUUUCAAAUCCAGGUUCAAGUUCAGAGAUACCACCUGCAGAACAUGGCCAACUUUGAGUUCAUCUCCAACACCAAAUUUUGUAUGAAGAAAGAAUCUAUCUUCAAGUUCAAUCGAAAGAUGAUCAGAUCUUUUGUCACUUUUGAAAGCAUCGAAAACCCGAGACAAGAAUCGAGAGAUGCUGUAUAGAUAGAUCUUUUGUAAUUUCGUUUAUCUUUUUAACUUGUAAUUUCAUUUUGAUGUAAUGACUGGAACCUCGAUGGAACCUUACUCGACUCUCCUACUCGGUAUAGUCCUUCUCUUUCCAAUCCUUUGAGAUACCCGUGAUUUGUUUCCCUCAUAACUUGGGUAGGUAGGAUAUCCUAUAUCAAGACUUGGUCUACCUCCCUCCUUCUGUUUUAUUUUUUGAAUAAUGGUCGGGACAAAAUUCUGCCUCGUUGUCUACUUCUUUGUAUGAAAAUACUUCGUGUUUACAUUCAAAGAGGUCAUGAUGUAGAAACGUAAUUUUGUCCCUCCCCAAAAGCAUUUUUACCUUUUUACCUCCGUCUUACUGCGUGCCCUCACCCGUGUGAUUAUAUUCCACAAAAAUAUAAAAAUAACAACCCUUAACAUAAUCCCUAACAAAUUCUAUCUUGUUUUAAUCCUAUCCUAACCAACUUUACACCUCAUCCUAACAACCUACCCCACCCAAUACCCUCCUACCCCACCUUCCCACGUGACCCCCCUCACAUUUCUUCUCCACAAAGGAAAAAGGAAAUAAUAUAUACACAUGGCAAAGGGGGCCCCACUGGAAUUUUCGGACCCCGCUGCACCUCACCAUUUUCUUUAUAUACAAUAUACAUAUAAAUAUAAUAGGGAAGAGAGUCCAGAGAGGCAACAUCAUCUUCUCCAUUCAUACACUUUACCAUUAUUUUUCAUUUCAUACACAAAAGACAAUUAAUCAUACACUCAUACAACAUCCUCCAUCGAGAAUCCAUAAAAACACACUCAAUAUAUAUCCUAUAGGGACGAUUUCACAGAAGAGGGGAGGCCAUUGUUGAGGACUUCAUUUUUCUUAUUCUUUUUCUGCUGCUACACACACGUGAGAGAGACAAAAAUAGCGAGAGAGAUAAGAAAUAGGGGAGAGAGAUCGAAAGGGGGAAAACAGUUUUUUCGAUGACAAGGUCACUGGAAUAGUGGCUUAAUCACAAAUUUUGGCCAUCCUUCACCAAAAUCUAUCAAAAAACAGUCCUUUCAUCGUUGGCGGAACUCCGACGAAACUAGUAGCUCUAUCCCGUCCCCAAAAACGUUGAAAUAACAACAAAAAAAUAACCACUUAUUGAUCGAACCCAAUUCCCUUUCUUCCAUUUUCUUUGAGCCCAAAACCCCACCCCUUCGUUUUGGUCUUCGCCGAAACUGAACGGAGUAGAAACGGGGUGCAUGAAUCAGUACGGGUCUCUCGUUAUUUCUAGAUUUUUGUUUUAGGUCGGAGAAAACAGAGUGCGGGAUGAGAUUCGGGAAUCUGAUUUUGAUAUUUGAGGUUUGAUUCGAGGUCGAAAUCUGAUUUGGAAUUCGUGUUGAGGUUCGGUUCAACGUUACGGUGCGGAUUUCAUCUCGUUUAAUCAAAUAAUACUUGAAAGCAGCAUUGAGGUCCAAUUCUUUCUUCUCUUCCUUUUAAUUCUUAUGUGAUUGCGAACUUGAUUCGAUGACGUGAAUCGUAGGUGAUUGUGAACUUGAUUUGAUGAUGUGAAUCGUUGGUGAUUAUGUUGGAUUUUGUUGAGGUUGUGAUCAUGUGCUUGACGAUAUGAUUUCGGCAAUAUGUGGUAUGAAUUUGAGUAAUAUUGAUGGUGUGAUUGAUAAAAAUGAAGCUAGAUGGGGUGGAAUUGAGAAAUUGACAAAAAUAGGUGAAUAUAGAUAAAUUUUGAUUAAUUGUUGUUUUGUUUAAUUCGGAAUAAGCAUAAAUAUUGUUGGAACGCGAUAGAAUUAUGAUAUGUUGAAAUGGAUAGGCAAAUGUAGGUUCGGGUAGGCAAAAUUUUUUUGAAUAAGUGUUUUGUUGAAUGUUUUAAUGGGGAAUGUGUGUUGAAUGUUUUCUAGUUUAUCGUACUUGAUUCAAGUGUAUUCAUUUGGCCGGGGAUGCCCCGAGGUUUCAUGUAUUUAGUCACCGAGAAAUGCCCCGACGUAUUAUGUCUUCGACGGAGGAUCGUGAUCAAGGCCCGAGGCAUCGGGUAAAGCAUUGGAGCAUAGUUUUGGAUUAGUGUAAGUUAGAAUAGGAUUUAUAUUUUCGCAUUUUUCUAUUUGGGACUGUAUAAUUGGACUAGACGUUAUAUUUUGGAUUUGAUUGUUUUGUUUGUUUGAUUGAUUGUUUUGAUGUGUUUUUUCUAUGGUUUAUACAUGCAUAGUGUCAAAUUAGUCGAUACGCUCCACCAAGCGACCGUGGUCGAACCACGGGAUCGAGGGGUGCCUAACACCUUCCCCUCGGUCAACAGAAUUCCUUAGCCGGAAUCUCUGUUCGCGGAUUAGUUUUAGAGUCAAACUGUUUUGAAAAGGAUCUUUCAAAGUGACUUGGCACACCGGAUUAUAUCAAGUGGUGACUCUGAAUAAAAAUAUAAAUCUUUUUUCAAAAUAAAUUUUCAGUCUUUUGUCACUUUAAUAAUAAAAACCCUUUCGAACCUUAAAAUUUAAUCUUUUCGGAUUGAAAAAGAGGUGUGACAAAUACCUCCAAAAAAUACCAUCAACCAACUUCACAUCACAAUCACCACCACCGCUACCAAUCGCCACUGUUAUAACAAUCACUGCAAUACCAACCAUCUUUGUCAUCACAACUAUCACCACCAACAUUACUAGUCACGAACAUUAAUCAUUACCACUACCAACAGUACAAAUCAUCUCCACUUUCACUAGCAAACAUAAGAAAAAUAUUUCAAUCAAAUAAUAAUUUUGUUGUAUUAACUCAAAUAUUUUUUUAAUGUAUAAUUAAUUUUUUGUUUGAAUUAUAUUUUUUAUUAUAUGUACAAAUUAAUAAAUUUUACACAUUUAGAUAUUGAAAAAUAAACAAUUUUAAUUAUUCGAUUUUUAGAUUUGAAAAUAACAUCAUAAUCAUUCAAAUAUAUAUUUAGAUUCGAACGUCUGAAUCUUAAUAAAAACAAAUACAGUCCUAAUUUGCUCAACAUACGUUUAGAUAACUUUUAUAUGAAGUAUGCCUUUUGGGACGUAUGUCAUUUUUAGAGGAAAAAAAAUUUGAUAGAUGAGGUAGGAGGAUAAGUGUGGGUUUGUAUGUUGCAUUUCUUCUUCUUUUUUUUUUUUUAGAAAUACAUUAUUCCUUCGAGGAUAAAACAUAAUUUAUGGAAUAAAUCUGUGGAUAAUAUCUUUGCAACAUAAGGCAUAUUAUGUCUUCUACCUCUCUACGAUAUAGGUUGUAUGUUAUUAUGAUGCGAAUACAUAAACUUAAUUAUACCACAAAAAAAUUAUUUGUUGUUUCAGUAUUAGUGGCAUAAUUUGUUACGCCUUUUACAACAUAACUUAUAAAAUAUUUUGAUAAUUAAAUAUAAACUUAUGUCCUAUUAAAAAUUAUGUGCUAUAUAGAUGUUAACGAUAAACAUAAAGACCACGUAUUUAAAAGACAAAAAUACAAUACCACCUAAAAAUAAAACAAAUGCGAGAACUGAAAAUGACACAUAUAUAUAUAUAUAUUAUAGAAGAGCAUAAUAUGAAAGAUCUUUAUAAUUUGAGAGAUCCUUGGAAAAAUCUGGCCAACUUCCUACUUAUUGCCAAGUCGUCUUCUAAAUGUGUGUUAUUACUUUUUCUUCUUUCAAGUGAAUUGUGUCCUUCCAGUAGUUCUUUUUGAUAAAAGUUAGCAUUUACAAGCCACUUUCUGAAUUUAUAGUUGAAAUUUCAUAAUAAUAUUCUGAAAUUUUUAUCCAUGGAAUUAAAAAUUUAAAAAUAAUAAUUAAGUAGUAUUUUUUAAUUACAAAAACUGGAAACUGAACUCUUUUUUUAUGAAUUUCCCACUUCAUUUUGUGGACCACUUUGUCAGUUGAUCUAGCCACUUGGUGUAGUAUCCUAAUUCCCAAGUCUUGGGGGGAUUGGUUGCUUUUGUGUAGUGAGAGGCAGCUAGAAGAAAGUGACUAUUUGUACCAUCGAAGAAAGGAGGUAGUGCAGUGGAUGAGGCUGCUCCUUCUUUAAUCAGAGGUCUCAAGUUUGAGCUUUAAGUAUGAAAAUUUUUUUUAGUAGGGAGCGCUACCUUUCGAAUGGGGCUUUACCUGGCAUAAAUCUGAAUUAAUCGGGCUCCAAAAUGAAUACCGAAUAUCGAAUGAGAAACCAAAAUAUAGAAAGUGACUAUUUGAUGCACUUUUAUUGAGUGAAUUAUAUUAUAAAUCACCUUUAUAUUUUGUACAAGAUAUCUACACUUUUACAUAUAAAAAAUGAAAUUAGCUUCUCUUUAUUAACCCGUAAAUAAUCAUAAGAAAUUAUUUUCACCGUGUUUUCCUUAUUAAUAUGAUCUUUUAAAAAAUUCUCAUUCAGUAUUCGAAUUGGAGUUCGAUUAAUUUGGAUUCACCUAGCAUAGGAUCCAUUUAAAAAAUAUUUUCUACCAAAGAUAUUUUCAUACCUAGAGCUCAAACUCGAAAACUCCAAUUAAAAAAAAAAGUAGCUCCAUCCGAUGAAUUACAUCAUUUGAUGGUAAUAUAAUGAAGUCAUGGUUUAAAUGCCCACAAACAUAUCUUCUUAUCAGCUACUGUUUUUUUUUUUCCAUCAUGGGAAAUAAUAAUUUGGUGAAAAUCAUGCUGCAAGUGCUUCACCAUUUUAUUGCUAAUUAAGUUCAUGAUUGAUGUUUCCCAUAAAAUACUUAUUUUCCUUGGGACACAAUUGAUAUUGCAAUAUUGCUAAGAGCAAAAUGCAGCAAAAACUUCUUUCUUCUCUCUUAAUAUCUCCAACAACAAUAUGAUAUAUAUUCAGCGUAAUCUCACAUAUGAGAUUUGAGAAAAAAAAAAAUAUCUACACAAAUUUUAUCUCUAUGACACUAUUUUUGAAAGACACACUGUCUUUAAUAUCUCUAACCACAAAUUAAAAUGCACUUUUUGUAAUAUUUAUUUUGAUUGGCUUAGAAUUUUUCUAAAUUAGUGUUAACAUAUUCUUGAUGUGAAAAAAGUGCACACAUAACUCCAAUACUAGUAGCUCCAGACUUAUCUCUCUAAAGAGGUAAGGUCGAAAUUAGUUCAUCCCUCGUUUUCCCUGUAUUUGACUAAUACAAAAAUUCAUUUUUCAAUUCAGAAUUGUUAUACUAUCCACAUUCUAUGGUUGAAAAUUUAUACAAGGCAUAAUUAGUUUUUUUAAUUUAUGGGGGUAGGGGUGGCGGGGUGGGAGAGCUAGCAAGAAAUAAUAGACGAUGGAGACAUUUUUGUUCUUCAUAAUCAAUGCUGAAAUCCAAAAUGGAAUGAACCAUAAUGUUUGGAUCAGAUCAUACACAUUCUUGGAGGAUAAUAGUAUUUUUUUUUUCUAAAACAAUUUUAUAACGAAGUACUACUUUUUAUCAUCUAGAUGCCACAGGGAAUCUAGAAAGUCGAAAUUUUUUACUAAAAAUAUAUAUAUGCAUAAUAUAUGGGGUAAUUAAAAUCGGACAUGGUACCUAAAUGAAUCAGUAAGUAAUGUUUAACAAGAAGUAAUACAGGUCGAGUAUGUUCAGUAAUUACUAUCAAUCACUUCAUAACAUUAAUGAUAAAUUUUAUGAGGGUGGAUUGACAAAUCUAAUUUCGUAGGAUCUACCUAUAAAAUAUAAAUUGUGAUAGACUUUCUUUUCAUAAAAGGGGGAUUUAACUCAUAUUAUGGAAUCUUAAGCUCCAUUGUUACGAAAGAUAUCAAUCCAAAAGCUUAUUAAGGUAACGUUGCUAGCCAUCAUAAUCGAGAUUCAAACUUCAUUUGUUUUUUUGUUUUGUUACUCGGUCAUCUCAAUUCAAGUGUUCAAAAAAUCACUUAUAAAAAUACAAUUAAAAUCGAUCGCGAAUUAAAGAUAGACACAUUUGUUAGGAUCGAUUUGCGUACGCACACAUUAAAUCUAUGGAGAGGAUGAAGAAAACUAGAGAGAGAUAAGUGAGAAUGAAUUACGUGGUAACAUUCAUGAGUAAACUCCUCCACGACGAACGAGCUAUUUAUAUUAAUGACUCAGAAUACAGUAAACUCUAGGUAUAAACAUUAAUAUAUAACAGCACAUCACAUAUUAAUCAGGCUCCACAACCUAACAAUAUUCACAUAAAUAAUAAUUAAAAUGAAAUAUCACGUAUCAAUAUAUAUUUUAAAAAUACUAGUAGUAUUUAGCUAUGAAAAUAAGAGCGUAGGCCACUACUGCUAUAAUGGAUAAGAACAUAAAAUAAAUAUAUUAGUUGUUUGACUUAAGAUUAAUCCUCACCCUUUUAGACUAAUGGAUAGAUAUGAAUAUCUUUUACUAUAUGCUUUCUCCAUUUUCGUUGUCACAUUUCGAUAGGAGAUGGAUCAUAGCAUACAAUAGAACGAGACAGAAACAAAGGUGGGGUUAAGUAAUUAUACCUCAAGACAGCUAUUAUUGCUAUGAAAAUGCCAUAAGGUGUAUUCGUGUCUAAAAUUCAUUACUCACGCUGUCUUGACAAAUUAUUGUUUGUAGUGUGUUCAUAAAAAAUGUCAAUUUUUUAAAAUAAUAAUAGUAAUUUGUAGUUACAUAAAUGUUUAAAGUUUGUCUUCUAAAUAAAAAUUAGCCACUUAGACAUUUUACGUCACUAUCCACAUAUAUGAUUCGUCGAUGCUUAAAUUCAGUGACAAAAGUUUUGGAAUAUUGUUUAGAGGACACAUCUAAGGCAUUCCCUAAACAAUAUCAAGGUUUUAGAGUUAAAUGUCUCAAAAGGGAAACAACAAUAUAAAAUCACAUAUUCAUGUACAAGAAUAUUUUAAAAUAGAGGACAAGGGAUUAAUGUCCGUCCAAUUAUACGGCGUCUUGCUAUAAUUUCAGCAGCUUCUAGAAGAGUCCUGGACACGAAGUACUACCUCAAAGAAUACAAAGGGAUAAAGGCGAAUUCAAGAAUUGAAUGAAGCAGAUAAUAUCCAAGAUUUACUGCGCGAUUAUGUUGGCAACCAAGGAUGGAUUUGGAGUAGAAGAAAAAGUAAUGAACCCAUUUGAGUGCUUCACAUUAAGAAAAGAUGUCACAUUUGAUGAGCCAAAAAUUGAAGUGGCUAUUUAUUGGGGAAUAAGGAACUUUGCUACAAGAUCAAUUUAACAAUUUGACCAGCCCAAUUACUGGAUCAGAAUUGGUUUUUAAUGUUAUAAAACCAAGGAGCAAAGUUGUUCUGGGAGGGCUGAAGGAUUUUAAAAAGGGAUUAUGCACGUGGAUAGUGACGUGGAAUGUUCAGGCGGCUAUUUUUAUCCAAAUGGCAUCUUUGGUGAGCCAAAUAUUUAACGGAGGGAUAUUUUUGAGCCAAAAAUCUAACAAGGGGUAUUUCUGAGCUAGUUAAGGAGUAUUUUUGAACCUUUUCCGUAAAAUAUUUAUUUCAAAAGUGUUUUAUUACUUUAAAAAAUUUACAUCAAAUCAAAUAUCAUCACAUAAAUUAGAUCGAAAAGUAUGUUUUCUUUGGCUGAGUAAACAAGUUAAGUUAAUCAAUCAAGUCAUAGAUUAAUUGCAUUUCGUUUGAUUAACUAAUAGACAAAAUAAUCCAAGGUUUUUCGAUUUCCUGGUAUUGCCUAAGUUGUUCUAAAAAGCAGAAACCAGAAAUGGUUUUCGCACAACUUGUUAUAAGUGUAGGUCCUUUUGCAAAAUAAAAAAUAAAUUCAUAACUAAAAUGUAAUGAUUUCAAAUAUUUAAGGUUCUUAACAGUUAGUAAUUAUAUCUUCAAAAAUGAGGGUUCAUAUAUAUUAUCGGGUGGAAAUUAUCUCUUAUAAUUUAUAAUAGCUAGUUACAAAUCGAAUAGAAUAAAAUGGUGAAUUUAAAUAUCCUUAAUUGUGAGUUACACUUUUAAUGAAUUUUAAUACAUAAACAAUUUAUAUAUAUACCGCAUCAAAAGUAUUGAUUUCGGCGAAAUUUGGUGUCGAAAGGCUACAUAGCCUCUAGUAUAAAAAUAAUUAACUUUCUUUAAUUUGCUAAUGAACCAGUAAAAAAAAUUAUUUCUACAUAAACAAGUGAAAGGGAACGAAUUAAAGAAAAACAAUCACAAUCAGCUAUAAAACUUUAAUUCUUAGUUGUAAUACGCCAUAAAUCUCAAUAGAAAAAUAAUCUACAACCCUUUCCUUAAUUCAAAUGCCUAACAUAACUAGAUUAAUGCUCAUCCGAAUCCCCUCGUCAUAUCUCAUUUAUAAUUUUAUAAUAGUUUAAUUAGUGACAUCAUGAGAUAUUUUAUUUAAUCAACUAGACAAAUUAUCGUCGAUGUAAAUGUGUUUCAAUGCAAAUUGCAUUAAAAAAUUAUCUGGCCUAACUAAUUCAAAAUUUUACCAUACAUGAUCAAUUAAAGAAAAAACAUUUUAUUAAAACUGCUUUUGUUUUUAAAACUUCGAAACUCAAGAGAUCUAAACUCAAAGAGAUUGUUAGCCUCCUAUAUAUUUACGUUCUAUGUUUUAAUAAUCAUGACAAAUUAAUGAGUGGACCUUUACGGGAUAUUAAAGAGUGAUAAUGAUGGAAGAAGACCCCGCACAAACGAUAUUGAAGAUCUCUAAUAAUGAGAGGAUAUCUCAUACACCCCUCAAAGAAAACAACGCUAAAUAUGGAGUCACAUCAACUGAAGAUCUCGAUGGACAAGGCAAUCAAAGGAUGAUUGAACGUACCCCUCGGCAAGACCAAACGAAGGAAGAUCACACCCUCUACAUGGACAUAUCUGAUAUGGACAUGUAUGGCAGUGAGAAAGAAAAAUUGCACCAAGUAUAGACAUACCAUAAGAUGCAAACUCCCUCAAUCAAGGAAUCAACCCAAAUCCUUGAUUAAGACGAAAUCCCUUGAGUUUCCUUAUGAGGAAAAGAAGCAAAUGUGGCAAAAGAUUAUAAAGACCAAGACAAAACGCAACUUCAAGAAAGAAUCUCAAAGUAUCUCAAUCUUAGUCUCACAAAGUAUUGUACUUCUUAGUCUACAAUAGUUAUAUAAAGAAUAGGAUCGAGUCAACUUUGUAAUACAAACUGAAGAUGUGUCAGAAGAUCUGAAGAAUUAAAAUAAGUCUUCGAAAUUUGUUUAUCAUCAUUGUACUCAAGCCUGACUUUGAAAAAUCUAAGGAAACUUUGAAACCCAAAGGGAUUGGAAGUAGUCACCACAUUGGUGUUUCAAACCAGGAUAUAUCUUUGUGUCUUUACUUUAAAGUUGAUUAUUUACUUGUCUACUUAUUAAAAUCUAAUCUGUUUUGUGAAGUAUAUUGAUUUGCAGGCAAGUCAACUGUGAAGACUCAAUAGUCGACUCACAGAAAUUUUAAAUUCACCCCCACCUUCUUGAAUUUCAAUUGGUAUCUGAGCAGGUCUAACCAACAGUGUUGCUUAACCGCAUGUGCGCAAAAAUCAAAUGACAAACUAUCAAAUUUUUUGUGCUAUUCUUCAAGACGGUCAUUCCUCCACAAGACCACCAUACUUCAACGGACAACACUACUCCUAUUGGAAGAACAGAUUUAGAAUCUUCGUCCAAUCAAAUGACUUCCAAGCAUGGAUUGUCAUUAAGAAUGGACCAAAGCCAAUUCCAGGACUUAAGGAGAAGCAGAAGGACAAAGACAAAGAAUCGAGCAGUACCGAUAUAGAAGACCUUAAAAGCUUUGAGGUCUCCAAAGAACAACAAGAGGUAAUCCAAACUAAUGCACGAACAAUAAGUUCACUUCUUUGUGCCGUUAAUGGAGAAGAAUACGAUAAUCUAUCAACCUGUGAGACUGCAAAAAAGAUGUGGGAUAAAAUGAAGGUUACCUAUGAAGGAACCACCAAAGUCAAAAAGUCAAAGAUUGCUGCCCUAUUCAAUGAACACGAACUGUUCAAAAUGGAAGAAAAUGAGAACAUUGAAACAAUGUUUGUCAAAUUCAGCAAAAUCGUAUAAGAGCUAAAAUCGUUGGGGAUGAUCUAUCCACAUAGCCUAUAAGUCCAAAAGCUAGUCAGAAGUCUUCCGAAAGUUUGGGAAACUAAGUUUGCUACUCUGGAAGAUGGAGAUCAUAACAACAUGACAUAUGAUAAGCUACGAGGUAAUCUCCUUGCAUAUGAACGAAAUUAUAUCAACAAGUACCACAAGGAGGAAAACAAGAAAUCAGUAGCCUUCAAUGUCGCACCAAAUAGAGAAGAGGACCUAUUGGAAGAAACCAAUAUCAAAGGAAUGACUCUCAUAAAUUGAGGAGUAAGGCAAAUCAUGAGACAGAGACAACAAAGAUCUCAAGAAGCCAAAAAUAACAAUUCCACUAGAAAUGAUGAUCGUUGUUAUCAUUGUGGAAGGUUUGAUCAUUCUAAACAAAACUGUCCAGAAUUAAGAAGAAGAUCAUCUUGAAAGAAUCAGAAUUUUGGAGCCUAAGAGAUGAAGAUGAAACUGAAGAAUAAAUAUAAGCAGCCAAUAUUUAUUUCAUGGUAAAAGGUGAAUCUAGUAAAGUAAAACCACACGAAUGUCAUAAUUAUAAUAUUCUUGAAUCUAACUUAGAUAUGAUAACCGAUGAGCAUCAAAAAGUUAUAGAUGAAAAUAAUAAACUCGUCCAAGAGAAGAAAAGCUAGGAAGCUUGACUUAAACAAAAACUCAAAGAGAAACGAAGAAACUGUCAAGUUGAAUAGCAUUAAAAAUACCAAGUCACAAUUUUGUGAGAUCAAAUUCUUUUAAAACCAACUCAAGUUCCUCAUCAAAAUCGUUUAAAUAAGCCAAGACCUCUUUCUCCUUUCGAGGACCCGUCUGUUAUAUUUGGGACAAAAAGGGAACAAAUCUUACAACUGCAAGAAAAAUCCUAAAAGUGUGUGGGCUUGGAGGUCUAAAGGAAGCACAUUUAACCCGCAUGGACCCAAGACCUCUUGGUUAUCUAAACAAAAUUAAUUUUCUUGUUUUAUGAAACUCCGAUGGGUCCAUCCCCAAGUCUUGAUUCAGACUCGUCUGGAAAGAAUGUUGAUGAAAAGAAGUAUAAGAGAAUGGUUAGAUCACUACUCUAUUUGACCGUCAGUCGAUCAGACAUCAUGUUCAGUGUAUGUAAGUGUGUCAGGUUUCAGUCGACUCCCUAAGAGUCUCAUCUGACUUCCGUUAAAUAAAUUAUCUGAUAUCUCAUAGGAACUCAAAACAUUGGACUAUGGCAUCCUAGCUCUUCUCAUUUCAAUUUAAUUGGAUAUUCAGACGUUGACUUUGCAAGUGAUAAAAGUGAUAGAAAAAGCACUAGUGGAACGUAUUAAAUUCUUGGUGAUGCCUUGAUUUCAUGGCACAGCAAGAAGCAAACUUCAGUUGCUUUUUUCAACAACUAAAGCUGAAUACAUAGCCGUUGAAAGUUGUUGUACUCAAAUUUUAUAGAUUAUGCAUCAACUACUUGAUUUUAAUUUGUCCUUUGAAUUUGUUUCCAUAAUGUAAGAUAACACCAAUGCUAUUAGUUUGUCAAAAUAUAUUGUGCAUCAUUCUAGGACUAAACACAUUGAUAUUAAACAUCAUUUUAUUUGAGAUCAUGUAGAAAAUGGAGACUUUUCUUUAACGUUUGUUGACUCCAAAAAUCAACUGGCAUAUAUUUUUACGAAAUUCUCGUUAGAUAAAAGAUUUUGUUACCUUAGAAAAAGACUUGGGAUUCUCAGUAUUAAUGACCUGUGAGUUUUAUUUUGGGACAAAAUCUUUUUACUUGUUUCAAAUUUCUCUUUAUUUUUUUAUCAAAAAAUUAAUUUUCAAAAAGGGGUCAUCAUUAUAUUCAUCGUUUUUCAUUCCACCUCUGCCACUUCUGCAUUCCUUUACCCUCCCAACAUCUCCCCUUCUGUCAUCUUUUCACUUUCAUCAGUCACUUUUUACUUUACCCCGCUUCGUCUUCUCCCACCAUUUUUUUCCAACAGUCGCCUUCAUCCUCCCUCCUUCUUUCAUACUCUGACCCAUCCUUUCUUCCCCUUUAAAAUCUAACUUCACUCAUCUCCCAUGACAAGAACUUGCUCCAUGGACAGUAUUUCAAAGCCCCUUCCUUAAACUCUUUCCAACAGUCUUGUUCUUCUCUUUGAGUCCUCUAACGAAUCCUCAUUGGAUUCUCAACAAUCAACUCUAAUCAAAAGACGUCGUCCUGAUCUCAUCCCAACCUCCUCUUUCAAGAAACCUCAUACAGCUUCUCAAAACUCCUUCCCUCCUAGGGACAUGCACAAGUUCUGUACAUGCUCUUAAAAAAAUAUAUUCUCUGCCUUUAAAAAUCGCUCCAUUAUACCCGAACACAUAAUCUAUCUCUGUCAGUUAAGAAACCCUUUUUGUAAUGUCAGCCACUUCUUUAAAUUUUAAGAUUUGUCCCUGAUCUUCUGUCUCUGUGGACUUGAGGGUUAUGAGGAUUCUGUCCGCAUGUUCUAUGCGAAUCGACGUGUCUAUCCUGAUAGUGGUGUACUUGAGACUCUUGGGCUUGGCAUAAGAAUUGUUCUGAACGAUUUUCUGUUUGAGAAGGUUUUUGAUACAAAGUUCUUUGGUGUGAUUUCUUUCAUGAAUGGUACCUGGCCCAAAGAUUUUUAGGUAAGUUUUGAAGAAGCAAAAUGGAUCCUGUCUGAUCCGGACACAACAUUGUCCAAUUCUGGCCCCUUGUCUCUGUGUUUCAAGUAUCGCAUCAUUGCCCAAAUAAUCGCUACCAUAUUGAUUCCAAGAAAGGGUUCCCUCGGUAUCAUUACCUACCGUGAUGUAUUUGUUUUGUAUUGUCUGGUUAUGAAACACAAAAUCAAUUGGGCAGCCUGGGUGCGUGAGUGUAUGCUGGAGAGUGCGGAGGAUGUUUAUGCCUCCGCCAGUUUACCAUAUGGCCUUCUAAUUACUCGGAUUCUUUUUUAUCACUAUUAAUCUCUCUAUUUACCCCCUGGUGGAAGUCAUUGGCACUUAUGAUUUUAAAAAUUUUGCCAGUAUGGGCUAUGUUUUGUUUGAUAAUGAGUGAUGUAAGAAGGAUUCUGCUCGAGCAAAAUCUGAACUACCCAAGGUAAGCAAGUUCGUUUCUAACCCAAUAUUACUGUGUUGAAGGAACUGGAGGAAAUCAAAGAUCGCUUCAAAACUAUUGAGGAUAGUGUCACACGGCUGCAGGAGUCGACUUCCAAACUUCUAAACCUUGGUAAGAGCACCAACACUGACAAAGGCGUGGUCCGGUUGGCUCUCGACAGGUUCAAAUAAGAGAGCAUCAAAUUGUUUACUCGAGUGUUCAUUCGCAUGGACUCCCUUAAGUCCCAAGUCCACUCCUCCAAUGAUGAUCUUGCUAUUUUAGAAUAGAACUCCUAUUCCCCCUUCUUCAAAACGUUGAAAAAUUCUAUGACAAAUUCUGUCAUAAUAUGCACAAUACCCUAACAUACUUUCUAGCUGAGCGGUGAAUGAUGACUUUUAUUCGAAGGGAGUGGCUUGUCCCUUAUUUCUGUUGGAUUGGAAGGUGAUUUUUUAACACACCAUCUGCCACACACUUUUUAUUUUUGCCUGGUACUUGAUAAUUCAUUAGAUUUUUUUCCUGCUAUAUGUCUACUAUUCUUUUGCUGCACUGUGGUUCUUUUUUAAUAUGCCAAAAGGGGAAGAAAGACAGAAACAUUGAAAGUGCUGACAAGUCAGGGGGAGCCAGUCGACUAUCAAUGGAUAAGAGUUGACUGAUACUCAAGAAACAGAAGAACAUCCACAGUAUUUACAAGUCAAGGGGAGCAAGCCGACUAUUGUGACAUACAGAAAAGUCAGCUGAUAUAAGUGCUUACAAGUUAGGGGGAGCAAGUCGACUAUUAAUAAAUAAGAGUCGACUGACAUUCAAGAAACAGAAGAACAUUAGAAGUGUUUACAAGUCAGGGGGAGCAAAUUGACUACUGUGACAGACAGUAAAGUCAACUGAUAUUUAAUGUUUGUUUGUCAUUAUCAGAAAGGGGAGAUUGUUAGCAUCGUAUAUUUAUGUUUUAUGUUUUAAUAAUGACAAAUUAAUGAGUGGACCUUUGCACAAUAUUGAAGAUCGCUAAUGAUAGAAGGAGAUCUCUCACAAAGGAUAUUGAAGAUCUCUAAUAAUGGGAUGAUAUCUCGCACAAAAGCAAGAAAUAUCCCCUCAAACAAAACAACGCUAAAUAUGGAGCCAUAUCAAUUGAAGAUCUCGAUGGACAAGGCAGUCGAAGGAUGAUUGAACAUACCCCUCAACAAGACUAAAGGAAGGAAGAUCACACCCUCUACAUGGACAUAUCUGAUAUAGACAUGUAUGACUGUGAGAAAGAAAAAUCGCACCGAGUAUAGACAUAUCUGACAUGGUCAUACCAUAAGGAAAAGAAGCAAAUGCGGCAGAAGAUAAUAAAGACCAAGACGAAGGACAAAAGGCACUAUACAACUCCAAGAAAGAAUUUCAAAGUGUCUCAAGCUUAGUCUCACAAAGUUUUUUACUUCUUAGUCUACAAUAGUUAUACAAUGAAUAGGAUCGAGUCAACUUUGUAAUACAAGCUGAAGCUGUAUCACAAGAUCUGAAGAACAAAAUAAAUCUUCGAAACUUGUUUAUCAUCAUUUUACUUGAGCCCGACUUUAAAAGAUCUAAGACAACUUUGAAACCCAAGAAGACUGGAAGUAAGCACCGCAUUGAUAUUACGAACCAGGAUAAAUCUUUGUGUCUUUACUUUAAAGUUAAUUAUUUACUUGUCUACUUAUUUAAAUCUAAUUUGUUUUGUGAAGGUUCUUCAUUUGCAGACAAGUCUAACUCAAUAGUCGACUCACAUAAAUUUUCAAUCUCCCCUCCCCCUCUUGAAUUUCAAUAAUGAGAGAAUCUUAUUAUUUUAUUGCUCUCCUAAAGUAGCAAUAUUACCAAUUAAACCCUAUAUACUUAGAUGAUCUCACUAGAUAGCUGAAAAAUAAAGCCACAUUUACGUCAUGACCUAACAAUACCAAACAAAUAAAAGAAAAUCCAUGACAACUCUGAAACUAGAUGCUGAUCACAUGUUUAAGGUCCCUAAUAUCUAAUUAUUUUAGGGCUAAUUGAUUCCGUCACAUGCAUGAUAUUAUUGCUUGUGACUCACUUCCAGGUAUUGAUAACCUAUACAACUCUUUUUUAAUGAUAAAAAUCACAAACUCUCAGAAUAAUAAGCAAAUGAAAUCUCUCUGUCAUUACGUACUUCGACUUACCAAACGUAUUAACGCAAUAUCCAGAUUAGAAAAUCUCUAGGGAACAAGAAAAUUAUCAUUCCUAAUUAGUUUAUUUAUUUCGUCAGAUCAGUUGUUAACUUCUAAUUACGUGUCUAAUUUGCAGACGAUGGAUUCAAAUCCAAUCAAGAGUCAGAGAUUCCCUUUAAUUAGUAUGGAUUGUCACUUGUUUUACACUCUUCGUAUAAAUUAGUUUCCCAGAGAAAAAAUUAAUACUACUAAAUAUAUAAAGGAGACACAAUUUAAAAUUGGAAAAUAAUAUGAAGCAAACAAUUAUUAAGGUGAAACAUGAAAUAAAACCGUAAAACAUUUUACAAGGUUAAUAGUGAUGACGAGAUUGACCAGCCAGGUUUUUGAGAGGGUAAAAAUGAUUUUUCUUAAGUAAAUCAAAAGAUAUUUGUAUAGUUGUAUAAAUCAUUUUAUUAAUAAUAAAAUAAAAUAUUUAAAUUAAAUUAUUACUAAAUAUAAAAAUAUAUUACUUUUUAUAGACAAAAAAAAAUUAUAAUUCAAUCUAUUUUAGCCCCUUAAAUAUAAACGAUUUUAAAUUAGGAAAACUGACCUUUUUGAGUACUUUUUAUAAAAUAUUUACUGCUUUUGAAUAUACUUUUUAUAUAUUAUCUAAUUAUAUCAUAUUUAGAAGUUAUUUAUCAUCUAUAGCAAAAUGUACUAUGUACUAUGUAUUAAAAGUGAAUUAUUUAUGCAAUAUAAAUGUAUUAUAAGAUUAAAAUAUAUUAUACUUGUUUAGGUUAAAAAAUGCAUUAUACAGUAAAACAAAUUAUUCAAGCAAUAUAAAUGUAUUAUAAGUGUUUUAAAUUUAUUAUAAUUAUUUUGAUAAAAAUCUACGCUAUGUAUUAAAAGUAAAUUAUACAUAUAUUAAAAUUAUAUAACUAUAAGUAAUAAAUACAUUUUAAAUAUAAUAUAUUUAAAUAAGUUUUCUUUAAAUUAUGAUAUGCUUUUACUCAUUUAUUUUAGAAUCCAUUUUUUUACCAUCAUUACCACUGCACAACCACACACAAUUCUUGCAAGUGCGAGUAAUAUUUUAGAUCCAAUUGGUAUGGUGUAAAUAUACAACUUUUGCAAAACCAUGGGAAAGUUCAUUAUCAUCAGUUCAUCACCACAUAAAAAAGAAUAAGAAUUUGCGCCAAUGGCCGAACAAAUCCUACGUGUGAUUGACAAAGAGAGAAAGCAAAAAAAUAGAAUUAAAAAAAGAAAUAAUUGAAGUACCCCUUCUGUUUAUCCUUUCUUUCUCGUCAAGCAUAUUAAAAAUAGCCGUAUUUAAUAUUAUUUAUUUAAUUUUAAAAAAUUAGUAAAAGAUAAUGUAUUAUCUCUACUUAAGCUGUUAUUAAAAUAAUACUAAACUUGUUUUCAAUAUUCAGAUGAUUUUAGUUAAUAGGAUUGAUAUAAUAAAAAUAUUUUUAUUUUAAUUAGCAGUUUUUAAAAACUGUGUCAAGUAAGACAUGAAUGAAUAAAUAAAGAUGAAAGGAACGAGUAAUUGCGUGAGCCUGUGGUUGAGAUCACAGCCGUUGGAUUCCAUUGACUUGGUUAAUCAAGUGACACCUCGUGUUUAACGUGGUACGGGGAACAAAUCCAUCUUCAACUAACUAAACGCCACGUGUCCAGGAAUAAUUUAAUGACGAGGAUGGACGUGCAACCGCAAAACCUUAAAUUAAAAUAAAAAAUAGUAAAAUAAAGGCAUUACUAGAAUAUUUGCUGCCCGACGGGUACGGGCAGAUUAAUUCGGGCAGUGGGUAGACAAAGACUUUGAAAAUUGAGCCCGCAUGUCUUAAAAUGGUCCCCAUACAGUUUGGUCCCACCAACUUCAAGGUUCUUAAUUGGCUGUCCUCUAAUUAUUACUCCAUAUGGAAGGUGGGGCCCAACGGUGUGUUGUAGCGUGGGGCCAAGUGGGACCCACGCUGACACAGCUCCAAUGUGGGAGGAAAGAAAAAUGACAAAGCGAAAAAAUGGAACUUCUCUAGAGACAUCAUGAAAUGUCUCUAUGAUGAUGGGAGUGUGGGGGAAAUAAUGGUGUUUUUCUUUGCUUUUUUAUUAUCAUAGUGGAGUUUUUAUUUUUUAGCAUGUGCUUUUGUCUUUUUAGUGAUAUGUUUUUAUUCAAUUUAUCAGAUAAUAUUUGAUAUUUAUAUUAAAAUUUAAUUAAAUUUGUACUCACGAAUUACAGAUCUCAUUUUUUGAGGUAAAGUUUUCAAUAGUAAUUUUUUAAUUUUUAUGUAAGUGGCUCAAAAUUAAAACUUCUAAUUAAAAGUGAAAGAAUAGUGAAUCAUCGGAUCAUGACUCAUAUAUUUAUUUCUUGGUGGUAUUCAAGUUUGCUUUUGGCUAGUCGGGUCCUUUGUAUGGGAAAAUUAGCUCCAGAAUUUUGUUCUACGGAUUAAGAAAACCUUAAAUGUUUAAUUAUGAGUUCAGUUUUGUCUUCAUCAUUUAAAAUGAAAAUAAAUUAACGGCAAAAGGAUCUUAUUCACUUGAUUUCUGUACUAAUAUAAUUUUUAUGCUUACAAAAUAAUAUUAAAAAAUACACGAAAAGUUGAUAUAAUGCAGGGAUGAUCGAUCAGUAGCAAAAUUUUGAUUGUGAUGUAUGUUGAAUAAUUUUAAAAAGUGAAAAUAGAAGAGUAUUAUAAAUCAAAUCCAAGAUAAAAAGGAAAAAAAGGAAAAGCACAGUCGUAAAACUAAAUUGGAAAAAUGAGUCAUAAGAUGCUUUAAACUAAAAAAUCUUUGCAGUACGGCAACUUUAUGUACUUUAAGAAGAAAAAAAACAUGGCUUAACCAAAAAAAGGUGAAAAAUAGUCUACAUUGUAAUAGUAGAUUUGCAACAUAAAGAAAAAAAAAAACACCGCAAAUUUAAUAAAAUAUAAAAGUUCAUGCACUUGUCAAUGAUUCCCUAAAACAUGAGGGAGCAAAUUGUUAAUAAAGCAGUUUUCGCCCACAAAAAAGUACAAAUUGAGAAAAAGUAUUCUUGUUUGCUGUCAUAACCGAAUUGGCUUAUGUAAUUACUACUAUAAUACUGCCAUUAUUCUACCCCUUGGAUUCUGAAAAACUGCUAAUGGUUUUUCUCAUUUUGCUUUUUAACUAUUUAUGUUUGCUCUCUGAAGUCCUAGAAUUACUACUAACAGUACUAAUAUUUUACAGUACUAUUUAUUAGUGGUCCAUAUUUCAACCAAUUAAGUUAAGAAAUAAUCUAUUCUUUAUUUCAAUUUAUGUGAUACAUUUUUAUUUUUAACGUCUCAACAAAGUGAUGAUUUGCACAAUCAAAACUCAAAAAUUCUUCUUACAUCUCGAGUUUCAAAAAUUUUAUGUUCAAUUAAAUAAUGACACGUUAAUCGAAAAGGAGACGAUGGUAAUGUUAUACAUGACUUUAGGGGCGGAGGCACGUGGGUGCAAGAGGGUCAUUUGAACUCCCUUCGAAGAAAAAAUAUAUUGUCUACAACAACAACAACAAUAUAUUCAGUAUAUUUUACAAAUGAGAUCUGAGAAGGAUAAAUGUACGCAGUUCAUACCACUAUCUCAGAAUGAAGUAGAGAAGUUUUCAACAGACCUUCAGUUCAAAACAAAAAAGCAUAAAAGGACAUUAUAAAAUAAAAAGAAAAUGAAAUAACACAACAAUAGAUCAUAAAAAAAAAAAAAAAAAAAAAAAAAAAAAAGACACCAAUAAAGUAGUACUAUAAAUCAUUUAUCUAAAAUCACAAAUAUCAUAAACACGAAAUUACCAGACACGCGCAUAGACUAUGACUACUAACAUGACUACAAAAAAGCAUUCCACCCUAUUAGUAAGAACACACUCUCAUCUACUACCUCUGUACCUAAAUUCGCGUCCUUCAUACCUUGUUGUUUAGGCUCAUGUCUUCAAUAAGCUGAAGUUACUUUACGUCAUGUCUAAUCACCUUUCUUCAAUAUUUUUUCGAUUCACCUCCACUUCGUCCGACACCAUUCAUAGAUAACCUCUUACCUCCAUGUCAGUCACUAUUGAUUAUUUUUUUUUAGUGAGAAAUUAUCAAAAAUAAUAUCUCUGACUUCCAAAGUAAAAAUGAGGUCCGAAUGUACUUCAUUCUCUUCGGAAAUCUUAGAAGCCGUUUGCUCAUACAUAUUUUUUUUUUUUCGAAUUUUUUUUUUACUUUAUGGAAUCAUGGUGUUUGGCCAUAGAUAGUUAGAAAACAUUUCAAUUUUUUUUUGAAAAAAAGUGAAAACAACGAAAAGUUAUUUUCAUUUUUUUUUCAACUCCAAUUUCAAGUUUUUUUUUUUAUUAUAUAUAACCCUAAUUCUUUUAAUAUUACAUAAAAGACCUUUAAAUGGUUUAAAUGAGUUUUGGAGCAAAUCCGGAAAGAAAGACAUUUUUUAUGAACAACAAAUCAAGUUCGGACACAUUUUUUAAAGACAUUUUUUCUCGGUAAAAGAUAUUUUUGAACAACAAAUCAAGUUUGGACACAUUUUUGAAAGACAUUUCUUCUCGGUAAAAGAUAUUUCUGAACAAUAAAUCAAGUUCGGACACAUUUUUAAAGAUAUUUCUUUUUUGAACAACAAAUAAAGAUUUUUAAGUUAAAAGAUCGGUAUAUUUUUAUUAUUUAUAGGUAUAUUUUAAUUUCUAAGCUUAGAACACCUUGCAUCAUUGAUGUAAAAUUCUUUUCAUUCAUAAGUAUAAUCAGUAGAUAAAUUAGUUGGACAAUUUUGAUAGUUUUAAAAAGUUUGAGAUAUAAAAUUAAAUUAAAAAAUGACUUUUUAAAAAUUAAAACACGUCUUUAAAAAAUAUAUGAUUAAAUACAACUCUACCUCCAACUUUAAAAUUUUUUAAUUUUUAUGGCCAGUCGCUAUUGGUUGCUAGUAAAAAUUAUGACUUUGGCAGUCCUUUAAUUAUUUAAUAAAUGACGUAUAAACCCAAUUAAUUUUAUUUUUUAAUCCUCUUUCCGUUGGCCAACAAUUAUAUAAUAGAGUUAUGGGCUCCUCUUCCCCCUCCUCCUAGAAUCUCCUUUACUCAUUCUUCUCUGCACUUAUCAAUCAUUCAUCUCUCAGUAAGAUCCACUUUCCUUACACUACAAACACAACUCUCUCUUUUCCCUUUCCAAAUUUCAUCAUCAUAUAUACAAAAACAACAAUGGCUGCACUGUAUUACACUGGAUGUGAAGACCACAACUACCAACCCCAUUUUCUUGAUGCUUGUUCUCUUUGCCAAAGAACCUUGGCUCACAACCAUGACAUCUUCAUGUACAGGUUAGUAUUUUACAUAUGGAUAUAAACAGUUUAAAUUGUGAAUUCAUCUCGGUUAUGAUCUUAUAUACUACGAGGGUUUGGGAAGGAUGACGCGUACACAGUCUUGCCCCUAUGAUCUAUAUAGUAUCGCGAGACCUCACUUGUGAAGUUACACCGGAUAUUAUUGUAAAUAAAGAAAGAUCUUAAACCCAUAAUGAUUCUAGUUUUAGUUGUUGAUCUGAUGGGAGUGAAAUUCUUUUGUUUUUGAUUACAGAGGGGAUACACCAUUUUGUAGCGAAGAAUGCAGACAAGAACAAAUAGAAAUGGAUGAAGCUAAUGAAAGAAAAUGGAAAAUUGCAGCAGCAAAGAGAUCAUCAUCAAGAACAAAGACAGAGACGCCUACUAAAGAAACUGAUGCAAAUAAAGCUGUACGAAAUGGAACUGUUGCAGUGGCUUGAUGAUCUUUAUUAAUCCUCACAUAAAGUAAUCGAUCUUGAUGAUGAUCAUGGAAGCUAUAACUCAAAAAAAAAGAUAAGAAAAAUUAAAUAAAAGACGAGAAAAAUGGCUUCUGAUUUACGAUAUCAAGUUAAAUAAGGAGGAAUUUUGAGUACAGAAAUCUUGUGUAAAAAAAUAUAUGAUGGGAAUUGCAAAGAGAGUAAAUCCUAUCAAACAAUUUUGUUGAAUCUUUUUUUUUUUUCUUUUUGCGGUUUCUAAUUUAGCUUUUGUCAAAAUAUGGUGGGAGUGUCUGUAAAAAUGGGCCGUCCAUAUAUGGUAAUCUGAGAUCUCUAAUCUUUGUGAUCAUCUUUUUCAUCUUUGUUCUUAAUUCUCUAUGUUAAUUUUCGUAGAGAUAUUGUUACCUUCUUCUUUUUAUUUUUAUUUUAUUUCGAUAUUUUGAUAUCCGCUUUGAGCUUCUCGCUAGCUUUAAUUUACCUUAGGUAAAACUUAUUAAAGAAUAUGAAUUGUUCCCUCGAAAUCCG